ensembl:lncRNA
GGGUUAGACAGUACAGAGACAGGUCACUAAGGAGCAGGUAGGGGUUAGACAGUACAGAGACAGGUCAUUAAGGAGCAGGUAGGGGUUAGACAGUACAGAGACAGGUCAUUAAGCAGCAGGUAGGGGUUAGACAGUACAGAGACAGGUCAUUAAGGAGCAGGUAGGGGUUAGACAGUACAGAGACGGGUCAUUAAGGAGCAGGUAGGGGUCAGGGGCAUCUUGCUCUAGGAGGCCCACAGGUGUAGCGAGGACACGUUCACACACAUGCACACACACACACACACAGACACAAACACACGCACAAGACCUACAGUACAAGUGUAACUGCAAACUAAAUCUUAACGGGCUCUCGGAGAGACUCGAUGGAUGACCUUUCAGACGACUACGAGGCGACGUCUCGGCUUUACGAGCGAGCUGAAUGCCAAACUUUUAAUCCAGAUGAAGAGCGCCGACAGCAGUCUCCCGCUCAGGAUGAGGUAGAGCCAACCCGUGAAACACUUUAUUACAGCGUGUGUCAGCUCGGCAUCACUUCACCGACCCUCUGAUGUUGCAGAUAGAGUGUCU